UCGGCGCGUUGACUAGCGCGCUUGUCAGUACCCUGAAAGCGCUUGCACGCUGCAUUUACAGCGUAAUCGCGACUGCACAGUCGCAUCGUGGUAUUUUACGAACUGCAUCGUGCUGCGUAUCCUCGUACCCUCGUUUCAUCGUUGCUAUGUAUCGGUGAUGUAGACUCGUUAAUAGACGUGUUGAGGGUGUCUGAGCUUGAAGAAGGGGUAGGCGCAAAGAGUAGUGCCGGAUCUCGUUAGAGGGUCGACAAUCAAAUCUGGGAUCGUGACACGCGAGGAAUGACAAAAAUCAAUAAAAGAAACAGAUUUUGUGUUUCAGACAUUAUUUAAAAACGAGACACCAGUGUUGCCACGAGAAAAUCAACCCUAAUCUCCGUCAAACGGUGCAAUAAAAGGACGACUUGAAAUAUACUGAAUCAGCUCGUGCUAAUCGGGCGCUACUCGAUGUUUGAGAAAGUCUCGACAUGACACGAAGCUAAACAAAGUGUAAGGAGAUCCUGCCGCUGUCAGCAUGUGGACGAAUCACUUGAUAGUGGGUAAGUGUGCUCGCGUCCUCGAUGAGCUUCCCAUUUAAUCCCGAAAGGAUCUUCUAUAUUUUAAGAAGGUAGCAUCGUCGAACUGAAAUAGGCUUCUCUCUUACACAAAUGUCAAUCACAUUCAAUGUCUAAUUUUUAUACAUUUUGAAAUUAAAACAACUGUUAUUCUAUUAUCCUGUCACUAGAAUAAAGAAAUCUAUAUAUUCAAAGGGAUAUCUGCCUUUUAAACUAGUUUUAAGCAAAAAUGUUAAAUUUCUAAUAAGUAAUUCUAAUCGUAAUUAUUUACAAAAGAUCAAUAAUUUGAAAAUUAUGUUAUUCGGUCACGAUCUUAUGCAAUUAUUAUGAGUCUUAUUACGAUCUAGAAAUCAUAGGUGUUAUAUAUAUUAGAUCUAUCAACACGCGUAUGGCCGCUGCUUCCGUGCUGUUAAGUACGUGGACAAGUACGUACGUAAGGUUCAUGAAAAAGAACGCAUUUGUGAAAUAUAGAGAGACCUGCGAAAUAGAAUUACACAGAUUAAUAUUAAUAUUUAUUAUACAUUAUUUCUUAUAGUAAUAAGAAUUAUCAACAGAAAUUAAGUCAUUUUUAGAAAUUAUAUCACAAAUAUGAGUCCUCUACAUUUCAAGUCAAAUGCGGAGGUAUUUUCAAAAAAAGUGCGCCAGGCAUCUCCAAAUUAUUUUGGUUAACUAAUAUAGACAAUUGUUGCUGAAUGAUACAUUUAUGAAAAAACUGGUUUUGCACGGCAAAUUAUAAUUAUAAUAUAAUUAUGAGUAAUGCAUUUAUUUUCGAUAUUGAAAUAGUAUUGUAUGUACUUUUAUAUGUACCGUGUAGAAGUUAUCCUUUGGCCUUUAACAUCGUUACGUAUUAAAAUAUCAAAGAUAUAUAUAAGGUGUAAAAAACUAAAAAACCUGAAGUAAUUAAGACAAAGUUGAAUUAUAACCUACGUCAUAUUCUAAAUAUACGCACGCAUUAUCUUUAACUGAAGCGAGAUUUUAAUUAAACGUUCAAGAUACUGUGUAUAUUUCUAACUCUUUCCAAGUUAUUUCUUCAAGACAAACGUUGUCAAUUGUUCUACAAGCACAUAAUAUAACACAUGUCUCAAGGUUCUUUUAAAACUGCACGACACCAAGUUUGAUUUCCCAGUCAUGUCCCAGAUAUGGCCAUUUACUGUUUUAUACUUCUCUAUACUGUAAGCCUUUUUUAAACACGUGUUUAUACCGCAUGUAUGUCACAUUUAUAUCCCAUACUCUUUCAUCCGUCACCAAUUCCUUACUAUAUACCUCAUAAUCUGUAAGAGUGAAAGCGCAGCAAGAUUAGAUUCAUCCAGUGAACCGAAAAAUCUGGACUUGACUGCCGCACGGUCCCUCUUUGAUCAAUCGAGUGAUAGCAUCAUUAGCUAGCACCACUAUCAGCGGUCCCCAACAUCGUUAAUACCGGUAUGCUAGAACCGCGCUAUAGAGAUAGUAGCGGUUGUAAUAGUAGUCGCAGCCACCGUAGCCGUUGUAUAAUAGCGCUAAUUUUUUCGCUUGCGUUAUCACUAAUCACACCAAGUUAUUUAAGCUAGCAACCUGCGCACAUUGCCAAA